GGUCUCAUCGGACAUUCCUUCUAUGCGAAGGAGGUCACAGACUUGAUAAAACUCUCUUAGGUGUGUGUAUGGGUUUUCCUCACCUUCUCCUGAGAAAGGUUGUUUUUGAACAAAUUCUAUGUAUUCGGGGUCUAUCUCAAAACUAGAUGUCAUGAUAGGCUUUGAAGAUUUUGGUGGUUCGAGAUGUGUGCCCGUAGGUCUAUGAAAUUCAUAGAUAGACAUGUUUGAAUUCAUGAUAGACCAGAAAUCAAGGAUUAGAUAAGAAGAAAGAUUAGCAGAGAUGAGGCAAAGGAUAAAAGGAAAAUAUUUUUUUAUUUUUUAGAAAAUGAUUAAGCUAGUUCGUAGUCAACUCAGCAACCGUUUCCCCGGCAACGACGCCAAAAAUGCUUGUUGACACUUGCUAACACCACUUGAAUACUAGGUUG
rnacentral:lncRNA from 1 species